rnacentral:rRNA from 1 species
CAGGCCUAACACAUGCAAGUCGAGGGGCAACAGAGAUUGCUUGCAAUCUGCCGACGACCGGCGCACGGGUGCGUAACGCGUAUGCAACCUACCUUCUACAGGGGGAUAGCCCAGAGAAAUUUGGAAUAAUACCCCAUACGACCUUUACUUGGCAUCGAGUAGAGAAGAAAACUACGGUGGUAGAAGAUGGGCAUGCGUCCUAUUAGUUAGUUGGUGAGGUAACGGCUUACCAAGACAUCGAUAGGUAGGGGCCCUGAGAGGGGGAUCCCCCACACUGGUACUGAGACACGGACCAGACUCCUACGGGAGGCAGCAGUGAGGAAUAUUGGACAAUGGAGGCAACUCUGAUCCAGCCAUGCCGCGUGCAGGAAGACUGCCCUAUGGGUUGUAAACUGCUUUUAUACAGGAAGAAACCUACUUACGUGUAAGUAGCUGACGGUACUGUAAGAAUAAGGAUCGGCUAACUCCGUGCCAGCAGCCGCGGUAAUACGGAGGAUCCAAGCGUUAUCCGGAAUCAUUGGGUUUAAAGGGUCCGUAGGUGGUUAAUUAAGUCAGAGGUGAAAGCCAGCAGCUCAACUGUUGAACUGCCUUUGAUACUGAUUAACUUGAGUUAUUGUGAAGUAGUUAGAAUAUGUAGUGUAGCGGUGAA